rnacentral:rRNA from 1 species
CCUACGGGAGGCAGCAGUGGGGAAUAUUGCGCAAUGGGCGAAAGCCUGACGCAGCAACGCCGUGUGAGGGAUGAAGGCUUUCGGGUCGUAAACCUCUGCCGGAAGGGAAGAACGGGUAGGGGUCUAAUAGGCCUUUAUUUUGACGGUACCUUUAGAGGAAGCACCGGCUAACUCCGUGCCAGCAGCCGCGGUAAU